rnacentral:rRNA from 1 species
CGGGGGGAGCAAGCGUUGUUCGGAUUUACUGGGCGUAAAGGGCGCGUAGGCGGCCAGCACAAGUCAGUUGUGAAAUCUCCGGGCUUAACUCGGAAAGGUCAACUGAUACUGUGCGGCUAGAGUGCAGAAGGGGCAACUGGAAUUCUCGGUGUAGCGGUGAAAUGCGUAGAUAUCGAGAGGAACACCUGCGGCGAAGGCGGGUUGCUGGGCUGACACUGACGCUGAUGCGCGAAAGCCAGGGGAGCGAACGGGAUUAGAUACCCCGGUAGUCCUGGCCUUAAACGAUGGAUGCUUGGUGUCUGGAGUUUUUAUAGUCUCCGGGUGCCGUAGCUAACGCGUUAAGCAUCCCGCCUGGGGAGUACGGUCGCAAGACUG